GGGAAUGUGGCUCAGUGGUAGAGUGCUUGCCUAGCAUGCAUGAAGCCAAUUCCA
rnacentral:tRNA from 1 species